CAAUAGCGUAUAUUAAAGUUGUUGCGGUUAAAAAGCUCGUAGUUGGAGUUCUGCCAGGUGCCGCCUGUCCGCCCCAGUGGUGAGUACGUGGCGCGCAUUUGGCCCUUUCAAGGGGAGCGUAUCUGCACUUUAUUGUGUGGUGCGGGAUCCUUGACUUUUACUUUGAGGAAAUAGGAGUGUUCCAAGCAGGCUCUCGUCGUGCACAGCUCAGCAUGGAAUAAUAGCAUUGGACCUCGAUUCUAAGCUGUUGGUUGCCAGAAGCGAGGUAAUGAUGAAGAGGGAUAGUUGGGGGCAUUCGUAUUUAACUGUCAGAGGUGAAAUUCUUGGAUUUGUCAAAGACGGACUACUGCGAAAGCAUCUGCCAUGGAUGUUUUCAUUGA
rnacentral:rRNA from 1 species